CACGCGCCUUGACAUCAUGUACAUGUUUCUGCACCUGGUCAUGUUCCACAUGCAGAACGCUCAGCGCCUACGACCUCUCGAAAUGUGAAAUUUGUUCUACACGAUGAAUUUUCGUCCACCCGUUCAGCCAUGUCUGACAGAGCUGAAAUUCAGCGUCCGAUGGUAUUCUCCCUCCUGCCUUGCUGACUACUGGGCGUCCUGCACCCCAAGAAACCUGCCAUUCAGGCUUUGCACGUGGUCAACUGAAGCUUUUUCAGUGGGUCAGAAGUGAUGGCUGCACCGGGCCCAUGCCCCUUCGAAAUUUUU
rnacentral:lncRNA from 1 species